rnacentral:rRNA from 1 species
GUCUCAGUUCGGAUUGUAGUCUGCAACUCGACUACAUGAAGCUGGAAUCGCUAGUAAUCGCGAAUCAGAAUGUCGCGGUGAAUACGUUCCCGGGUCUUGUACACACCGCCCGUCACACCAUGGGAGUCAGUAACGCCCGAAGCCGGUGACCCAACCAAACGGAGGGAGCCGUCGAAGGUGGGACCGAUAACUGGGGUGAAGUCGUAACAAGGUAUC